rnacentral:rRNA from 1 species
GAUGAACGCUGGCGGCGUGCCUAAUACAUGCAAGUCGAGCGAACAGACGAGGAGCUUGCUCCUCUGACGUUAGCGGCGGACGGGUGAGUAACACGUGGAUAACCUACCUAUAAGACUGGGAUAACUUCGGGAAACCGGAGCUAAUACCGGAUAAUAUAUUGAACCGCAUGGUUCAAUAGUGAAAGACGGUUUUGCUGUCACUUAUAGAUGGAUCCGCGCCGCAUUAGCUAGUUGGUAAGGGAACGGCUUACCAAGGCAACGAUGCGUAGCCGACCUGAGAGGGUGAUCGGCCACACUGGAACUGAGACACGGUCCAGACUCCUACGGGAGGCAGCAGUAGGGAAUCUUCCGCAAUGGGCGAAAGCCUGACGGAGCAACGCCGCGUGAGUGAUGAAGGUCUUCGGAUCGUAAAGCUCUGUUAUUAGGGAAGAACAAAUGUGUAAGUAACUAUGCACGUCUUGACGGUACCUAAUCAGAAAGCCACGGCUAACUACGUG